AUUGAACGCUGGCGGCAGGCUUAACACAUGCAAGUCGAGCGAGCGGCGGACGGGUGAGUAAUGUCUGGGAAACUGCCUGAUGGAGGGGGAUAACUACUGGAAACGGUAGCUAAUACCGCAUACCAUCAGAUGUGCCCAGAUGGGGUUAGCUAGUGGGUGGGGUAAUGGCUCACCUAGGCGACGAUCCCUAGCUGGUCUGAGAGGAUGACCGGCCACACGGGAACUGAGACACGGUCCAAACUCCUACGGAGGGAAGCAGUGGGGAAUAUUGCACAAGGAGCGCAGGCCUAAUGCGGCCAUGCCGGGUGUGUGAGGAAGGCCUUCGGGUUGUAAAGCACUUUCAGCGAGGAGGCGUUACUCGCAGAGGAAGCACCGGCUAACUCCGUGCCAGCAGCCGCGGUAAUUC
rnacentral:rRNA from 1 species